rnacentral:misc_RNA from 1 species
CGCUUAUCGAGUAAUAACUGUUCAAAAUGCUGUUGAUGAGGACGUUGCUUAAAGGCGAUAUAAAAUGCUAUCGACUGGUAACUUCUACCUCGAUGGAACUUCGAGAAGAGGGAGACGCUUAUUAAAGACCAGUGUUUGAGGCAGUUAAUAAAAAUGCAUCUCGAGUAAGACUUGUAUCAAACUCGCCAGCAACUUCCGCGGAGAAGCGAAAUUAUGAAGAGGCAUAAAAGGAGAAGAUUGCUGGAAAGUAUUUCCCAACGCCGGCACGAUUUGCAACGCUAUCCUCAUUUCUUCCUUCUGAUUGCAACAACAACGAUGACAAGCAACAAUAAUAAUUGCAAGCG